UCUAGCUUUUAAGAUUGAGUUAGAUUACAUAUCUUUACAUAGUGAGAAUUGAUUCCCAUUCCUUCGAUAUAACUUAGCAUUCAACCAAAUACACCAUUUAACCUUUUUUAGAUGAUGAACACUAGCCAAUAAUAUUAAAAUAUCUAAUUUAUCAGAAAGAUCAUGAAUUCACGUGCACCAAUAAACCGGCGGAUGAGUUGAUUGCCUGGACCAAAAGAAGCUCACAGAAUUACCUGCCUUUUUCUUUUCCUUUUUUGCCAUAAUCAUGUGUUAUUGGUCCAUAUGUCCUUAAUAAGCAUGUAUAAAAUGGAGCACUACACACUUCUGUUGCAGCAAAUUAAAUCUUAGCAAAAUAUUAGAAAUAUAGUAAGAGUAAUUUAUAAUAGCCAUGGCUGCCCCUUUCUUUCGCUUAUUUAUUUCUUUUCUUUGCUUUUCUUAUACUAUCAACAGCUUCAUUAAUGCCGUCCCAGUCACAAGAAGCAAAAGUUUGGUAUUACUAGACAUAUCUCAAGAACAUAAUGUACUGUCAGAGAAUAUAAUUCUUAUGGAUAAAACAAGAAGAGAAGUACUGGAAGCUGAAGAGAUCAUAAACGAUUAUCCAGGUUCGGGAGCGAAUAAUCGCCAUACUCCAAGGCCCCAAUUAGGGAGAGGCUGUGUUGAAUGCUAGAUAAUAUAUCUAUUAUAUCUGUUUUUAAGAUAAUUAACUGUGUUAAGUAUCAUUUUAAUCAUAAUUGGCUCAUAUUUUGAAUAGCUAAUUAAGAAGGUUGAUGAUCGUGUGGAUAAUCUCUCUGAGAUUUAGCUAGUUGAGAAGUUGAUGAAUUGGUUGAGGAGUACUUAUUAAUUAGCAGUAUUAUGUUCUAUAUGUAGUGUACUAAUUUAUGUUAUGAUUAAUAUUAAUUUUAUGAACUUUGUUUGGUAUCAUAUAACAAAAA